CUUCAACGACCCCAACCACAAAGGAUCACCGACCCGCUCCCGCCCGUACGUGGCCAGCAACGCACCCGCCUC
rfam:Streptomyces ambofaciens ATCC 23877, complete genome.